rnacentral:rRNA from 1 species
CCCCAGACUCCUACGGGAGGCAGCAGUGGGGAAUAUUGCACAAUGGGGGAAACCCUGAUGCAGCAACGCCGCGUGAGUGAAGAAGUAUUUCGGUAUGUAAAGCUCUAUCAGCAGGGAAGAAGAUGACGGUACCUGAUUAAGAAGCCCCGGCUAACUACGUGCCAGCAGCCGCGGUAAUACGUAGGGGGCAAGCGUUAUCCGGAUUUACUGGGUGUAAAGGGAGCGCAGACGGCAGUGCAAGUCUGGAGUGAAAGCCCGGGGCCCAACCCCGGAACUGCUCUGGAAACUGUGCGGCUAGAGUGCAGGAGAGGUAAGUGGAAUUCCUAGUGUAGCGGUGAAAUGCGUAGAUAUUAGGAGGAACACCAGUGGCGAAGGCGGCUUACUGGGCUGUAACUGACGUUGAGGCUCGAAAGCGUGGGGAGCAAACAGGAUUAGAUACCCGAGUAU